rnacentral:tRNA from 1 species
AACUUUAUAUUCAACUAUGAUUUUAAAUUGCAAAUUUAAAGGUAAAUUAUAUAAUUUUAAAGUUU